AGAGUUUGAUCAUGGCUCAGGAUGAACGCUAGCGGCAGGCUUAACACAUGCAAGUCGAGGGGCAGCACUGGUGGCAACACCUGGUGGCGACCGGCGGAAUGGUGCGUAACACGUGAGCAACAUGCCUUAGUCCGGAGGAUAACCGAAGGAAACUUUGCCUAAUACUCCAUGCUAUCAUCUGACGGCAUCGUCAUUUGAUUAAAGAUUUAUCGGACAAAGAUUGGYUYGCGGGACAUUAGCUAGUUGGUCAGGUAACGGCUGACCAAGGCGACGAUGUCUAGGGGUUCUGAGAGGAAGGUCCCCCACACUGGAACUGAGACACGGUCCAGACUCCUACGGGAGGCAGCAGUGAGGAAUAUUGGACAAUGGUCGGAAGACUGAUCCAGCCAUGCCGCGUGAAGGUUACAGUCCUAUGGAUUUUAAACUUCUUUUAUAAGAGAGCAAUAAGGUGCACGCGUGCAUUGAUGAGAGUAUCUUAUGAAUAAGCAUCGGCUAACUCCGUGCCAGCAGCCGCGGUAAUACGGAGGAUGCAAGCGUUAUCCGGAUUUAUUGGGUUUAAAGGGUGCGUAGGCGGAUUGAUAAGUCAGCGGUGAAAUUCACAGGCUCAACCUGUGCCGUGCCGUUGAAACUGUCCAUCUGGAAWACGUAUGCUGUGGGAGAAAUGUGUAGUGUAGCGGUGAAAAUGCAUAGAUAUUAACACAGGACACUUAUUUGCCGAAGGCAUCUU
rnacentral:rRNA from 1 species